AUACAAAUCUCCUGGAGAUCUUGUUGAAAAUACAGAUUUCAGUGCAGUCGGUAGGUCCAGGGUCAGGACUGAGAUUCUAUAGUUCUGACAAGUUCCUAAAGGAGACUGUGAU
rnacentral:miRNA from 1 species